UAUCAUAGUAACUGCCGAAGACAGUAGGUGCCGUAAGGCAUAAGUUGUAGACGCCUACCGAGGAGAUAUGAAUUCUUACUAUGAAUUUUGAACCUCUAUGUCUUGGACAUAGAGGUUUUUUUAU
rnacentral:sRNA from 1 species